rnacentral:rRNA from 1 species
GGCAGGGGCGGCGUGCCUAAUACUGGCAGUCGAGCGAGCUUGCCUAGAUGAUUUUAGUGCUUGCACUAAAUGAAACUAUAUACAAGCGAGCGGCGGACGGGUGAGUAACACGUGGGUAACCUGCCCAAGAGACUGGGAUAACACCUGGAAACAGAUGCUAAUACCGGAUAACAACACUAGACGCAUGUCUAGAGUUUGAAAGAUGGUUCUGCUAUCACUCUUGGAUGGACCUGCGGUGCAUUAGCUAGUUGGUAAGGUAACGGCUUACCAAGGCAAUGAUGCAUAGCCGAGUUGAGAGACUGAUCGGCCACAUUGGGACUGAGACACGGCCCAAACUCCUACGGGAGGCAGCAGUAGGGAAUCUUCCACAAUGGACGAAAGUCUGAUGGAGCAACGCCGCGUGAGUGAAGAAGGGUUUCGGCUCGUAAAGCUCUGUUGGUAGUGAAGAAAGAUAGAGGUAGUAACUGGCCUUUAUUUGACGGUAAUUACUUAGAAAGUCACGGCUAACUACGUGCCAGCAGCCGCGGUAAUACGUAGGUGGCAAGCGUUGUCCGGAUUUAUUGGGCGUAAAGCGAGUGCAGGCGGUUCAAUAAGUCUGAUGUGAAAGCCUUCGGCUCAACCGGAGAAUUGCAUCAGAAACUGUUGAACUUGAGUGCAGAAGAGGAGAGUGGAACUCCAUGUGUAGCGGUGGAAUGCGUAGAUAUAUGGAAGAACACCAGUGGCGAAGGCGGCUCUCUGGUCUGCAACUGACGCUGAAGCUCGAAAGCAUGGGUAGCGAACAGGAUUAAAUACCCUGGUAG